rnacentral:rRNA from 1 species
CCCUUAGAUGUCCUGGGCGGCCCGCGCGCUACAAUGUCAGCUACUGAAGGUUAAUGCUUUGAAAGAGAGCGCGCUCUCCUUUUAAUUGCUCGCAUGCUGGGAUAAAUGAAUGCAAUUUUGUUUUGAACGAGGAAUUCCUAGUAGCCAUGUUUCACUAGAAGAUGGCGAAUGCGUCCCUGCCCUUUGUACACACCGCCCGUCUCUCCUACCGAUGAGCGUUUUGGCGAAGACGGUUUGAGUAGCUGCGUAAUUUCGUGUUGUUGACUCCGGCAGUUUGAGCCUUCACGUUUAGAGGAAGGAGAAGUCGUAACA